rnacentral:rRNA from 1 species
UACAGAGGUCCCAAGCGUUGUUCGGAUUCAUUGGGCGUAAAGGGUGCGUAGGUGGCGCGCUAAGUCAGGUGUGAAAUUUCGGAGCUUAACUCCGAAACUGCAUUUGAUACUGGCGUGCUUGAGGACUGGAGAGGAGACUGGAAUUUACGGUGUAGCAGUGAAAUGCGUAGAGAUCGUAAGGAAGACCAGUGGCGAAGGCGGGUCUCUGGACAGUUCCUGACACUGAGGCACGAAGGCCAGAGGAGCAAACGGG